GGGCUUGACAUCCCACGAACCUGCCUGAAAGGGCGGGGUGCCCGCAAGGGAGCGUGGAGACAGGUGGUGCAUGGCUGUCGUCAGCUCGUGUCGUGAGAUGUUGGGUUAAGUCCCGCAACGAGCGCAACCCUCACCCCUAGUUGCCACCGGGUAAAGCCGAGCACUCGAGGGGAACUGCCAGCGUCAAGCUGGAGGAAGGCGGGGAUGACGUCAAGUCAUCAUGCCCCUUACGCCCUGGGCUACACACGUGCUACAAUGGCCGGUACAAAGGGACGCGAGACCGCGAGGUGGAGCCAAUCCCAAAAAACUGGUCUAAGUUCAGAUUGCAGUCUGCAACUCGACUGCAUGAAGGAGGAAUCGCUAGUAAUCGCGCAUCAGCACGGCGCGGUGAAUACGUUCCCGGGCCUUGUACACACCGCCCGUCACACCACGAAAGCUGUCUGUACUCGAAGUCGCUGAG
rnacentral:rRNA from 1 species